ACCAGUUGUGCCGCCAGGCGCAUCGCUGGGUAGCUAUGAACGGAAGGGAUAAACGCUGAAAGCAUCUAAGUGUGAAGCCCCCCUCGAGAUGAGAUUUCCCAUUCCUAUAUGGAAGUAAGACCCCUGAGAGAUGAUCAGGUAGAUAGGCUGGAAGUGGAAGUGCAGCGAUGCAUGGAGCGGACCAGUACUAAUCGGUCGAGGACUUAACCAAG
rnacentral:rRNA from 2 species